UACGUAGGGUGCAAGCGUUGUCCGGAAUUAUUGGGCGUAAAGAGCUCGUAGGCGGUCUGUCGCGUCUGCUGUGAAACUCAGGGCUUAACCCUGAGCUUGCAGUGGGUACGGGCAGACUAGAGUGCGGUAGGGGAGACUGGAAUUCCUGGUGUAGCGGUGAAAUGCGCAGAUAUCAGGAGGAACACCGGUGGCGAAGGCGGGUCUCUGGGCCGUAACUGACGCUGGAGGAGCGGAAA
rnacentral:rRNA from 1 species